rnacentral:lncRNA from 1 species
AUUAACUCAUAACAUAAAUCAAAUUCCAUAAAAAAUAUUUAUGGUAAACAUCACAAAUUCAAACACAAAUCAAACUAAAGUUCAAAAAUCAUGUGCAAUAACUCAAAAAUUACCAAAUUAAUCUAAAAUGGUUCCAUACAACAAAUAAGUAUUUAAAAAGUACGUAUUUGAUUGGUUAAUGUUGCUGCCAUGAUCAAUCCUAGUAUAUCCAUAUGUGAAGUAGUUCAUCAUCCGAAUCACUCGUCUGAAAUGAUAAAUUACAAAUAUUUGAGGAGGAACUUCUAUGGAUUCGACAAAUAAACAUAUACUAAUGUGCAUACAUUCUUAGCACUUGAAUAGACAUAACUUUAUCAUGCUAUCAGCAAAGAUAGCUGUAGAAAGGCAAUUUUUGUUCAACUGAAAAAAACUUAAAGUAAUGCAAUUAAUAACAGUUGUCGUUUUAUGUUUUGAAAGACAAAAGACAAAUGCACUUACAAAGUCCACCAAGGUCUCCCAACGCCGAUCACCUAGUCGCAGAGAAUUUGUUUUACAGAUUCGUAUUUGGGGUGAAUAGAUCUAAUGGAAAAAUGAUGAGAAGCUCUGGUUACGGAAGAACUGAAGAUUCUAGAAAGUGAGAAAACAAGAAGAGGACUGAAGCGCUUCUGUUAUUAGCCUUCAAAGACGAAAAAUGAAUAGUAGUGCAAUCACUAGUCAGUUAUCUUAUUUAUGCACAUUAACUAACUCUAAGAAAUUAUAAUUACACUUGGUAUAUAAAUAGCUGGGACCUGCGAUACUUAAAAUAGAUACAGUAAAUCAUACGAACAGAUAACCGAGUAUGUGAAAUAAGAUAUAGCAAUAUUCCCAAAUUCGACAAAGUAUCGAGCGAAGAACUUCAAUAAUAACUAAAUAUCGGAGGAAAAAGAAAAGAAGAGUCUCAUAGGCAUACUUACAAGGUUAGAAUCAUAUGUGAUGCAUGAUAGAAGAUACCAAUAGUGACAAGAUUGGAAGAAUUUCGACCAUAAGUUGUGCUAAUAGAAAAAGGCCUAAAGGAAAGAAAUGUCUUGGUCUUUAGAUUUAUUCACAAAACAGUUGCCUAAAUGGCAAUGAGAGUAUCUAAGUAUUCGAAAGAUAUAAGUUAUGAAAAUGAUAAGUGGAUCAGUCAACAUUGGAGGACUAAUAUUCCAAAGGAGGGAAUGAUGUUACACACCAUAUUUUCAUACAUGAAAGUAUGCCAUAAAGGCAUAAAUAAUUGAUGGAAGCUCGGAAAAGAGAUAUUACAUCCCGCAUUUUCGUACGUUAAAGUUUCGUCAUAAGUUAAUUAACUUAAGUUUGUGAAUGAGAUUAUUUUGAGAUUAUAAGCAUUAUGUUAUUUCAAACUAGUGAUGAGUAAAUUCGUGAAGGUGAGAUGUUAAGCAAAUCGAAGGAAAUAAAUUUCUUUGUAGUUUGAUAUUUUGGGAUAGAAUACAACCCGAACUAAAAUACUCGAUAUUUAUAGACUAGUGUCAUACAAAGUACCGCAUGAAUAUAAUAGCAAGGUGUAUAAAAUGUGUUAAAAAUAAAUAUUUUGAAAUAAUUUAAAAAAAUUCUUAAUUAUGUGGAUAAUUGAGUAAUUAAUGGUCAAUGAAAAAUUAAUAAGAUAAUCAAGAACAUUAGUGAAUAAUUAUGAUUAUGGGAUAAUGCCCAGCGUGGCAGCCACUAUUCAAUUAGUGACUCUUGAGUUGUAUUACUAGGUGACACCUUUAGAGGGCCUCUUAGCUCAGCCAUAAAAGGCUUCUUAAAUUCAACAAAAGACAUGAAGAUUAUGAUAAAAAUUUCACAAAAUAAGAGAUGCUAGCCUUCUCUCGUCUCCAUGUAAUGAUCUCCGUGGCAAUAUAUUUUGCUUCAGCAAAACAAAGUGUUAGCAACGUGAGUUACUUCACAAAAGAGAGGUGCUUAAUCUAAUCUACAAAGUGACAGAUCUCCGGCCAAGAAAUUCAUACGAAGUUAUACUACGUAAUAGUAACGAAAUUUGUAAUUCUAGGGGAGGCCGAUAUAAUUUUUUUCAAGAAUAUUAUACUGAUUUUUUUCUACUUCGAUUCGCUGUUACAUGUCUUUUUUGCAAUUAACGAGUGUUAGAGGGUUGUCAAAAGAAUCGACUCAGGUAUGUUAAGGCCAAGCCCUUUCUUUAUUUUUGCAUGAUCUCAUAAUUACAAUGUAUUUGAUAACGAGGCAUAAAGAGAAGUUCAUACUUCCGAGCGUAUAUACAUUAUCCUAGUAUCAUAAGUUACAAUAUUCUUCCUUAUCGGGAUUUUAUAUUCAAUUGAUCAUCUUCCAGUCAAGAGAGCAUAAGGUCUCUAUGUAUACAGUAUUACAAUAUUUUCACCACAUCAAUCUAUAAUCGGUGGGCAAGCUCCUACUGGGCAACCUCUGAUCAGAUAGUAAGUUAUAUACUAAGCCUACUGCGGCCAAGCCCCUAUGAGCGAGCCUAGAAUGGCCGAGAUACAGAGCCUAGUAUGGUCGAGCACUAAUGAGCGAGCCUACUAUGGUAGAGCAGUUAUAUAUACGGAGCGUUAUAAGGCCGGACAAAUAUUUUACUUACUAUAUUGAGAGGGUUGAGUCAGUAUGAGCAAGUAAGCAUAUCUUUAGAUUAUCUUUGACUCCCAAUUACUUCCAGUUAUUAUAUUAUCAAUUCAGUUUCAGUUUUAAGUUAUUUUAUUGCCUUAUAUACUCGGUACAUUAUUUUGUACUAACGUCCCUUUUGCCGGGGACGUUGCAUUCCAUGCAUGCAGGUUCAGGUAGACAGACGGAUAAACCUCCUCAGUAGGUGUUGCCCGAGUUCUACUUGAACGGUAGGCUCACGUCCUUCGGAGUUUCCGGGUCUAGAGUUUUAUGUACAUCUUGUGCAUAAUAUAUAUAUGUAUAUAUAUGUUAUGGGUAGGCUGGGGCCCUGUUUCGGUCACAGUACAUCCAUUAGUAGAGGCUUGUAGACAUGUCAUGUCAGUUAGUGUAAUUAGGCUUGUAGGCCUUGUAUGUAUAUUAUGUUGGUUUGCCGGCCCAGCUAUAUAUUGAUUUUUAGUCAGCAUUUGCGAAUUGUCUUGCAAUGUGUCCCAUGGUGAAAGUAUGACAUCAUAUGUUUAUAUUUCAUUAGUCACAAAUUAAUAUGCAAGGAUAGGUGAGGCACGAGUGCCGGUUGUGGCCCUUCUGUUUGGGUCGUGACAAAAAUAGUAUCAGAGCAGUUCUGUCUUAGGAAUUUACAAGCCGUGUCUAGUAGAGUCUUGUUUAUGGGUGUGUUGUAUCACUCUUUCUUCUUACUCUAGAUCGUGUGGUAGAGCUCAUUUAUAAAAAUUCAAACUCAUAACUUCUAUUUCAUUCAUAAUAAGACAAUACCUACAUCCGGAAAGACGGUUGAUAAGAUAUAUAGUUGUGGAAGAGUUGAGUAAGAGGAACUCGAUUUUGUAUCAUGCAUAUGAUAAAUAAAUGUAAGGUUUUCGGUUUAUCAUGUGUGUGUAAGCUUCCCGAUAAGGAUUCUUAAGGCAAAGAUAUCUAUCCAUCAAUAUGGUGAAAAGCAAUGAGUGAUUCAGAAGGUACAUACAAGUUUUCAGUAGUAAAAGAAGCAAGGUGAAUAAAGGGACGAGGUACCCAUUUAGUGAAGACGAUCAUUAUCUACAAUUCAGGAAAAAAGAUAUAAGCAUUUUGAGUUACCUUCGACAGUAACAAGGUAUGCACAAUUGGCUACACCGAUCGCAUUUAUGCCUUAUGGAAGCUAACAGACAUGGUUCAAGAGAAGGACGGGAUAUCAGGAUCCGGCUGGGUUAGAGUAACCCAAAAUGGUGAAUGAACUGUUUGUGUUGGUUGACAUUUCCAAAGGAUAUUACAAAUGUGGUAAUAGAUAUCCUUGUGAUACCCCCAGAUGGUGCACUCUAAAAUAAGACAGCUAGAUAAGAGUACUACAAAGAUAGACACCGGAAGUCAGGAAGAGAUAAAUAUUAUCUUAGUACGACUCCGGUUCCUAGUAGAGAGAGCAUGUUGGGCAACCCGAAGAGCCAAUGGAUGGAGAAGGGGGGCUAAAAGCAAAAGAAUAUCUUGUUGAAGUUUUCAGAAUAAAUUAGUGAUAAACAUAAAUAUUAGAGAGAAAUAAGAAAAGAGUUAAUGAAGCAUUAUUACUAAGAUAUGAUACAUGGAUGAUAACGGUAGAUCAAAAGAUGACAGUUUUAUAGAAUCUAUAGUCAAGUGAAGGAAGAGACGAGGGGUGACAGGACUUAAGAUAACAAAAGAGUAUAGGCCAUUGACACACCUCCUUUUUACCAUCCCGAAAGGGGUAUAAGGGAGUUUUUCACUUUAAGUGACAUUAUUCGAAAUGAGAUUAUUUAUUUAUCAGAGUUGCCACUUGGGAUAGUUUAUUUGGUGUCCCAAGUCACCGAUUUAUUUUAAAUUCCCAAAUCGAGGAAAUUCGACUUUCCUUUUGAAGUCUGCGAACUAGAAAUUCUAAGAAAUUCUGUUAACCCGGGAGAAGGUGUUGGCAUUCCCCCGUUCCGUGGUUCUAGAACAGUUGCUUAAACGAUUAUAAUUAGCCUAUUAUCUGAAUUUAAUACAUGUUUUAGCAUAUGGUUCAAUUUAAUUUAUUAAUUGCUUUUAACUAAUUUUAAGAAGAUUCAACGUUAUUUAAAACACACUUUAAACCGUCACAUGAAAUGCACCCUUGGUCCACGAUACAUUUUAUUUAACGUUGUUGAGAAUUGGAGUUGGGUCACAUGACCCGAGUUUAAGGAAAUUAAUUUAAAUAGCGGCGAGAGCUACUAUGCACUUUCAAGUUAAUAACAAGGUUUGUGAGGGCCAUGAAAAAUUCUACUAAUGGCACACCAUGAUUUUUAAAGAGUCAUUAUUUAUUAACCGAGGGCCAUAUAUUAUCUAAUUUUGCACUAUGGCACACCCCAAGUCUAAUUGAAAAAGUCAUUCUCAAUUAAGCUCAAUAAUGUUGCCAUUCACAAUUGUUUGAACUUGGAAAGGAUUAAUAACCAAGAGCAGAUGGGGCAGCGGAUUAUUCUAAUGAAAUAGAUCAAAGUUUAGUCCUAUGGAGUCGUCAAUAGUCCAAAAAAAGAACUACUGAAGAAAACAAUGCCAGUUCUGUGAGCCUGGCUUGGGCGCAACAAUCUCAUUUGGGCCACUUAAGUUGCCUUGUCCGCCCCAAGGGCGGGUUCUACAUCUCAUACAUUUUUAUACUUUGAUUAUCCAAGCUUCAAUUUACGUUAAACCAACUGAUUUCAUAAAAACCAAAUAAAAUUCGACACCUAAUAUAAGUCUCAACUGCAGAACACCAGACCACUACCACUUAGUGAUACUCAGGCCACAAGCAUAUUUUAAAAGAUUAAAACCACAGCUAACUGAUGACAAAUUCAAUACAUAUAGUGAAACCAACAGUAGAAUGCUUCAAAUAUUCACACAUAACAUUACAAUGCAACAGUAAUCUCUGAAUCCAUUCAAAUACUGAAAACUGAAUUUUAAAGCAAUAAGGUUGAUGAUGAAAGCUGAUCUAAACCCAACAUCAUCACCAAACUAAAUUUUAUUCACCAAAGUUUAGUCAAUACCAUGAUAGUCCAUGAUCAAAUACACAACAACAAGAGUCCAACUGACAAAACUGAAGUCUAAGCAUAAUGUAACUGACUGGAAGACUAAAUCUACAUGCUAAUUGAAACUUAAUACAGUCCUUAGAAAGGUACUGCCAACAACAUAGGCAAACACAAUAGGUUGUACAGUAAAACACUGUAAUGCAGAAAACAGGGCUAAAUUUUAAACCCAAAUCAGUUGAUAUUAUGCUUAACUCCACAUUUUCAAUUACAUGCUUCAAUUUUGAGCUUCAUAUUAAGUAGAGUCCAAGGAGGUACCUGGAUAUCCAAACAAACCAAAAGAAUGAAGAUUUCAGCAGCUUUAACAAAGGAAAUGGAUCGGCAGAUAGAAACACAUAUAAUCUCAGCUUCCCCAGACCAUUUGUAAUCUAGACAAAUAGAAAUUUGUUGAAAGUUUCGAAAGUUAUGGCUAACUAUGAAGAUCAAGAGCAGAAACCAAGCAAGUUUUUAACCAAUGCAGUAUUUCUCAGUAUUGUUUAGAGUGUAAAGGGCUCAAUCCUUUUUGCAUUCUUAGUCUUCUUAAUCUCUGCCUAAUUUUACCGAAAAUGGACCUUAUAUUUGGGACCUUAGGCAGCAGAACUAAGUUCACAAUUUUGACAGUUGCCCCUUCCGCAGUUUUCCUUUUGUGCAAAUAUCACCCUAAAUUUCAAAACCAAUUACUGAACUACCCAAUCCCCUCUUUCUUGGAAGCUUCCCAAUCAGUUAUAGCGAGAUUCCUCUUAUUAAAAUACCCUAAAUGCCCUUUAUGCUUCUGUUAUUUACCUUCAGAAGAUCCUAUGAGUCAAACUUGACCCAAGACUCAGCCUAAACCCAUGGGUCUGUAUACUAACAACCCAAACUUACAACUUCAAACUAUUACAAACGAUCAUUGAAGCUCAAAUGACUCAGGUUGCUAAGGUCAAACGAAAGAAAAAUAGGAGAGGAAAAGAAACGAUUUGCAGAGAACACGCAUGAUUUAAACCAAGAGAGCACUUAAUUUGUUUUAGAAAUGAUUCGAACCUUAAUGAAUUAUAUUCUCAAAAUGAACUAGGUUAACGAAAAUUCAACUAAAAUGGGAAGAGAAAAAAUGAAAUAAAAGGGAAAACACAUACUGAAAUUGUCGGAGAAUAGAGGAGUGACUUGGUAACAUGCAUCGUUUGGCAAAAUUACCGACCCUUGGUAUUGCAUGGGCCGAUGGGCUCCGAAACGAAUCGAAAUCUAUGCUAGUCACUCGUUAUCAAGGAGAACAGUCAACUGGCAUAAGCUUCGACUUAUUAUCGACCCAGAACUGCUUGAACUCUGACAAGGGGAGCA